ACAGUGUGGCAGGAAAUAUAAAUGUUGCACGCCAUAUUGGGGAAUUUGUAAUUCGAAUGAUGAAUGUUGCGGUUCGGAACACUUUUGUACUUUCCAUAAGGGAUUUACAUAUAAGCGGUGCCUUUUUCCUAGUGGUUUAGCAGUUAAGUCCAGAAUUGACGCUACAUUGUUUUCAGUUGUUAUGUUAUUUUGGAUACUACAAUGUAUUAACUACAGAACAUGGCUGAAUAUCAUCAUGUAAAAGACUUAUUUUUAAAUAU
rnacentral:lncRNA from 1 species